CGCAGCCGGGCUGAGUUAUUUCAUCCGGCCUGCCGGAUCUGGGCCAUUAUCGGGCCAAACCAUUUUGGCUAACUUCGGUGUUUUGCUGUGCUAUACAUU